rnacentral:rRNA from 1 species
CAGCAGCCACGGUAAUACGAAGGGUGCAAGCGUUAAUCGGAAUUACUGGGCGUAAAGCGUGCGUAGGCGGUGAGUUAAGUCUGCUGUGAAAUCCCCGGGCUCAACCUGGGAAUGGCAGUGGAUACUGGCUCGCUAGAGUGUGUCAGAGGAUGGUGGAAUUCCCGGUGUAGCGGUGAAAUGCGUAGAGAUCGGGAGGAACAUCAGUGGCGAAGGCGGCCAUCUGGGACAACACUGACGCUGAGGCACGAAAGCGUGGGGAGCAAACAGGAUUAGAGACCCCGGUAGUCCCUGUCUCUUAUAC